rnacentral:rRNA from 1 species
AAUAGAUACCCGGGUAGUCCACGCCGUAAACGAUGGAUACUAGCUGUUGGAGGUAUCGACCCCUUCAGUAGCGAAGCUAACGCGUUAAGUAUCCCGCCUGUGGAGUACGGUCGCAAGACUAAAACAUAAAGGAAUUGACGGGGACCCGCACAAGCGGUGGAUCAUGUUCUUUAAUUCGAUGCUAAACGAAGAACCUUACCAGGGCUUGACAUCCCGAGAAUUUCUCCGAAAGGAGAGAGUGCUUUUAGAACUCGGUGACAGAUGUUGCAUGGCCGUCGUCAGCUCGUGUCGUGAGAUGUUUGGUUAAGUCCAUCAACGAGCGCAACCCUUGUGAAUAGUUGUAUUUUUCCUAUUCAGACUGCCCCGGCAACGGGGAGGAAGAGGGGAUGAUGUCAGGUCAGUAUUACUCUUACGUCCUGGGCUAGAAACGUGAUACAAUGGCAGGUACAAUGCGCAGCGAAGCCGGCGAGGUGAAGGCAAACUCGCACCGAAAGCCUGUCCCAGUUCGGAUUGAGGCUGAACUCGCUCCAUGAAGUCGGUAA